AUUGAACGCUGGCGGCAGGCCUAACACAUGCAAGUCGAGCGAGCGGCGGACGGGUGAGUAAUGUCUGGGAAACUGCCUGAUGGAGGGGGAUCACUACUGGAAACUGUAGCUAAUACCGUAUACCAUCAGAUGUGCCCAGAUGGGAUUCGCUAGUAGGUGGGGUAAUGGCUCACAUAGGCGACGAUCCCUAGCUGGUCUGAGAGGAUGACCAGCCACACUGGAACUGAGACACGGUCCAGACUCCUACGGGAGGCAGCAGUGGGGAAUAUUGCACAAUGGGCGCAAGCCUGAUGCAGCCAUGCCGCGUGUAUGAAGAAGGCCUUCGGGUUGUAAAGCACUUUCAGCGGGGAGGCGUUACUCGCAGAAGAAGCACCGGCUAACUCCGUGCCAGCAGCCGCGGUAAUAC
rnacentral:rRNA from 1 species